rnacentral:rRNA from 1 species
UACGUAGGGGGCAAGCGUUGUCCGGAUUUAUUGGGCGUAAAGAGCGUGUAGGCGGUCAGGUAGGUCCGUUGUGAAAACUCGAGGCUCAACCUCGAGACGCCGAUGGAAACCAUCUGGCUAGAGUCCGGAAGAGGAGAGUGGAAUUCCUGGUGUAGCGGUGAAAUGCGCAGAUAUCAGGAAGAACACCCGUGGCUAAGGCGGCCUGCUGGGCAGUUGCUGACACUGAGGCGCGACAGCGUGGGGAGCAAACAGG